CAACUCAACACCCUACGGCUUGGCCGUUAACAAUGGUUAAACAAAACAUCUUGUUUUUCCUAUAGUAAUUCAGUAGAAAUAGCCUGGCCAUAGAAACAACAAAGGGAAAAAAACUGGACAGUUGGGUGCUGCAACCGGCGGAGAAGCAUCGUCGCCUGAAUGCAGUUUAACUUGGAGAUUAUCCUCUAUCAGUUGUUAAUUUGGGGAUGUUGGAUUUUCGUGUAUCUCAGCAAAACUGUCCAAAUUAUACCCAUUGUGAUGGCUGCAAUAACAUGGACUAACGGAAACACAUGGUGCACGCUGUGAGGUGCCUUUUGAAGACGAUUCUUCACGCUACACAAGGCAGGAGAUACUUACUGGUGUGGACUCUUAUCGGUUUCCUUGUUCCUGCUCCCGACCUGGCUAUUUCUUUUGAUUUCGUGGUGCCUUCUUUUCCUAUAUCUCCCCUAAUAAUAAAACGCGGAGCGUUUCUGUCGUCCGUCGUGACAGUUUUACAAAAAAGUCCUCCAGUUUUUUCACAAUCAACCCGCGGUCCUCCAUUAAGUGGAAAAAAACGUUUCAUUUUCAAAAAAAGCCCCUGUCCUCCACCGGUCCAGGGAUGGGGUGGAUCCGAUCUGGCUGAGGCUGGAGGCGGCGGUGGUCAGAGAUGAAGGCGAGGCCGAGGGGCGCGUGGGGCGGCCGGAUCCAUGGCGAUCCAGGCCGGAUCCCGCCGAGGCUGGAGGCGGCGGCGCGCGGGGCGGCGAAGUGCGGCGAAGGAACCGCUCGGCCGGGGCGGCGACCCCGUCGCCGGAGCGCCGCCGCCUGUCGGAAUCCGAGGCUGUUCCCUGCGCCGCCCUUCUCCCUCCUCCUUCAACCUCCCC
rnacentral:lncRNA from 1 species